rnacentral:rRNA from 1 species
UCAUUUUUAGUUGCCUUUAUGGAACUCUAGAAAGACUGCCGGUUAUAAACCGGAGGAAGGCGGGGAUGACGUCAAGUCAGCAUGCCCCUUACACCCUGGGCUACACACGUGCUACAAUGGGUGAGACAAUGAGAUGCAACUCUGCGAAGACAAGCUAAUCUAUAAACUCACUCUAAGUUCGGAUUGUAGGCUGCAACUCGCCUGCAUGAAGUUGGAAUCGCUAGUAAUCGCUGGUCAGCUAUACAGCGGUGAAUUCGUUCCCGGGCCUU